rnacentral:rRNA from 1 species
UACAGAGGGGGCAAGCGUUGUUCGGAAUUACUGGGCGUAAAGGGCGCGUAGGCGGCCUGUUAAGUCGGACGUGAAAUCCCUCGGCUUAACCGGGGAACUGCAUCUGAUACUGGAUGGCUUGAGAUUGGGAGAGGGAUGCGGAAUUCCAGGUGUAGCGGUGAAAUGCGUAGAUAUCUGGAGGAACACCGGUGGCGAAGGCGGCAUCCUGGACCAACACUGACGCUGAGGAGCGAAAGCCAGGGGAGCAAACGGGG